AACGCACAUUGCGCCCCCUGGCAUUCCGGGGGGCAUGCCUGUCCGAGCGUCAUUGCUAACCCUCCAGCCCGGCUGGUGUGUUGGGUCGACGUCCCCCCCGGGGGACGGGCCCGAAAGGCAGCGGCGGCGCCGCGUCCGAUCCUCGAGCGUAUGGGGCUUUGUCACGCGCUCUGGUAGGGUCGGCCGGCUGGCCAGCCAGCGACCUCACGGUCACCUAUUUUUUUCUCUUAGGUUGACCUCGGAUCAGGUAGGGAUACCCGCUGAACUUAA
rnacentral:misc_RNA from 1 species